rnacentral:lncRNA from 1 species
AAGGUAUGCAAUGUCCUUUCUUUCUACGUAGAUAUUAAUACGAUGCGAUCUAAGUGAAGUGCCUUAGUGGGUACUGUGCCAGUUGCCAAUCCACAUAUAUAUUUUGAUGUUCAUGCACAAUGCCAAACCCACUCUUAUAAACACAUAUAUAAUAGGGCUUUAGAGGCUCAAUCUUGUGUUUGCCUGUGAAUGUCACCUUUUCAAAAAUAAAAAAUAGAAAAUUCAUUAUGGGGUAUGUAGAGUAACACAUCUACAGGGUUCCCCUGUUCUUCCUAAUUGGGCCACACCUCAAAUGCUCUGCUAUUUCUCCUCUAUUAGGAGUAAUUUUUCGUAACAACCUUAUUUGAAUAGAUCUUUUCAAUAGCUCACACCUGUGUCCUUGAGCUCUAAGGAGACUUGAAACCCAAGUUGUUUUGGUGAUCUUUGGGUAAUGGAAUGGUAUUGUUCCCAGUCAGCUUAUACUGUAAAAAUAAAUAAAUUGUUUGUUUUUUAAUUAAAAAGGGAGCUUUUCACAUUUCAGUGUCUUUUUACCUAAUGAAGAGUUUUGUUUUUUGCCUUGUGAUUUUGGCAUAUCAAAGAAAAAGGUUGUCCCCUGGAUCAUAACAGGGGUAUUUGUUGUUGUCAGUUGCUUUUAUUAAUAAGUGAUUUGUGUAUGUUACUUGUCAAUCUUGUUUCAGUGGGGUGAUUGGAUUCAUGCUGUGCUCUACUGAGGGACCUGCUGUUGAUUUCAAGCAUCCUGUCAAUCCCAUUGAUGCAAAUGAGAGUGCUUGCAAGUCAAGUCGACCUUUGAAAUUUUACAACUCAGAGGUGUGAUUCUGCUUGCCCCAAGUCUUCUUCACUUCUGCGUUAAUCAUGUAUUAUAUUGAUUUACAAUUUUUUUUUUUUUUUUUUGGAUUUUGUUUUCAGAUUCACGCUGCAGCUUUCUGUUUGCCAUCUUUUGCAAAGAAGGUGAUUGAUUCAAAAACUACAUGAAAAAAAAAAAGAAAAGAAGAAGAAGUUUAAAGAGCACUUGACCAGGAUUUAAUGGUAGAGUUGCUGGAUUUCAUCCUCAUCGAAAUGGUGCAGUAGCAAUGAACCAUAGAAUAAGUUGAGGUUUGAAAUAUGUCCUCAGUGGGGGCGGAGUUAGUAUGCUUAUUGGAUUUUUGGGAUUAAUGUCAUUCCUUAUGAUUAGUACUGGACUAUGAAAAUUUGGGGACCACUCAUAGCCAGCUUAGUUCUUGCAACUAGUUGUUUAAUUCAUAAAUAUUAUAUUUAUGUUUCUUUGUUUCUUGAAUUUGCAAUUACAGCUUUGAUGUAUGUUUGAGAUGCCAAAUUCAAGAAAUAGGGGUUUUUUCCCUAUCUGGUUCAAAAACAUUUGUCAUACGUGUUUCGUCUCUUAGCUUUACAAUUCUUUACUGGAUUUUGAGGUUCUGAAUACAAGGAAUGCGGUACAUUUAAAGGGUGAUUGCAAUUUGUGAAAUGCCCUCAAACGUGAAAAGAAUAAACAAACCAGAAGCUCUGCUGGUUUAGGUUUCUUCAUGUAUGUAUGUUUACAGCAGGAAGCUGCUACAAAGUAUAAUGAGCAAUUGCUCUGCUGGGGGUAAACGGGAUGUACCGUGCUCAAAGGAUUGCCUUCCCUCAGCAGCAGGUAUUGGAUGCAGAGCAGGGGAAACACUUGAUGCAAUUAGGGAAAGCAACUUGUGUUGUGCCCCCUCUCAACUGUGUCUGCUGUAUUUACUUUCUGCCAUGUGACAUACUUUGAUGUCCUCAUGACUUGGGUAUAUCUUGUAAAAGAGCCUAAAAUUUUGAUAUCCAAACAUAAAUGGAAACAAGAAACACAAGAGGAUCUUGUAAAAGAACCUAAAAUUUUGAUAUCCAAACAUAAAUGGAAACAAGAAACACAAGAAAAAACACAUGAGAGAGAGAGAGAGAGAGCUUAUUAACUCCUCAAGAGGCUUAAUUGUGUCUUGAAGUUCUGAAAUCCAAAUGAAUCCUCAAGAGGCUUAAUUGUGUUUUGAAGUUCUCAAAUCCAACUGAAAACAAAAUAAAGAGCUUUAGGCUUCUCAACCUGCUGCCUUGUCGACCUUCUUUCCGGCUUCUGUUUCAUGAGUAAAAUCCACAUUCACAGUUUAUCUUCUACUCCUACUUCUCCAGCAAUGGCCUUCCUUAAAAUCCUCUUCUUGCAGUUGUGGAAAUAAACCAUGAAAACCAUCCACUUGACCACAUUCCCCAUACAAAGCAACAUAACUUGUAUUAGGAUUCCACUCCCUCUAACAUUGCAUCUGGCUUGGAGGCAUGCCAACCUUAAACCAAGUCCCCAUGCUAAAAUAACAAGCACCAACAGACGUCCACACUUCUCACUCCCUCUGCUAAAAUGUGAAGAUACUGCAAAUGCUUCAGCCCCAUAAGGCUCCUUCAAAAUUGAAAGCACAAUGCUCAUAUUCCAUUCCACACUCCAAUCCAAGUACUUGUUAGCAGUGCUGUAACAGCCGCCCCAAAAAGUAAACUAAACAACACAUUAAAAAAAACCUGUUUACUUCUAUAUACUCUUCAUCCCAAAACCUCCGUGAAAUAAACUAAUAGUUCACAAACAGCCAUACUAAUCCAAGAAAAGCACAGGUGGAGAGGAGGAGAACAUAAACAGAAGUGAUGAAAGGCCCCUUCAAUUUUGCAUUGUGGAAGAGUUCACAUACCAUCUCUCUCAGAGCCAUUGGCUUCUCUCCUGGUUGUAGCUUUGAUGCCAAAUUGACAGUCACAGCCGAGUUAAAGAACUCUAGGAGAUGAAGGGGCAGCAUAAAAAGGAGACCCAGCUGAACGAAUUUAAGGAAAAAACCCCCAGUCAGUCUUCUUGCUAUAUGGGUUGGGACAGGUUAAUUCCACCGGUAAGAGUAACCAGGAGGCAGUGUUAGAAUUUCAAUGGUUUCAGCAAGUGUCCUUUGGAGGACUAUUUCAUAGAAAACCAAGAAGGAAAACAGAGGAAGGGAAGAGAAAAGGCUGAAGAUGAUGAAGUUGGUGUUUUUGUAUGGGAUCAUGAGAGCUUCUUUGAUUAGAUCCAAGAAGCAUAGCUCCUUCCACAUAAUAUUGGUGCCAGUCACCUCCAAGCCUUUCACUUCUGUGCUCUAUCCUGAGAGUCUUGGAACAUAUAUGAAGGCUUCUCUCUGUGGUUUCCUUCGUCCGUCUACCAAUUCAGGGAUUGACUUGGUGUUCUACCCUCUUGGGUGAUAUUUUAGAUGAACACAAUGCUGUAGAUGUCAUUCAUGGGUGCUUGUUAAUAUAAUAUGUGUUUAUAUCUAAAUGGUAGAAUUCAUUUGGUUGACUUUAAUUUUAUGUAGUCCUGACCCAGGCUCAUGGCUUUUCUAGUCUCACAAUUGCUGGAUGAGAUAUUUUUUAGGGCUCAAAUUGACUUGUGAACUCUACCUCAAUUUACAGUUGGGUUCCCAUUCGAAUUGACCAUGCUUCUGACCUCUUGAUUUCUUACUCUAAAGCCAAUAGCUUAGGGUUCACAUGUUGGGACACAAGUCGAAUGGCCACAUCAUUCUCUAAUGCCUCUCAAAAAUGUGUCAUCUUUCAUUCCUAUUGUGUAGGCAUUCGGCUUUUACUGGCCUUUCCAGAUGGACUUUCUUAGUGCCAUUAGGAAUUAAACAAGUUUCUUGUUCCUCUUACCUGGUUAAUUAUUACUUCUAGUAUGUUGUUGGAGUAAGGGAUUCCCUUUUUAGCUGUCUAGAUUGCUUUCAGGACCACUGGUGUGAAAAUUAAGGAUUGGGCAAACCAAAGUAGCAGGUAUAGAACUGCUUCCUCCAGCACUACAUUCAGCUUCUAGGCAAGACAACCUCAACAACAAGCACCAGAAGAGUUCCAUGCUGUUCAUUACCCCUGUUAAUGUUAACCAAGAGCUUUAAUGCUUCCCUCCCAUGUGUCUCCUUCAAAUCAAAACCGUGAUAGACAUGUUCCAGCACUUUAAUUUAUGUACUUAUCUAGCAGUACUGUGAAAGCCAUUCAUGAAAUGCUACAACCAGCAGGCUAUGUAUAGCAGUUUAUUGCCAUCCUAUCAAUCCAAGUAGCAUAAAAGUUGACAUGAGAAGUGAGAACAAUGAGAGAUGUGAUGAAGGGACUCUUCAACCUUGUUUUGUGGAUGGCCUGACAUAUCAGCUUUCUUUGUGUUUUUGGAUUGUCCCCAGUGUUAUAUCCUAGAGCCUAAAUCAACGAUCAAAAUCACAUUGAAUCACUCUGGAAGAAGAUAAGGAAGUAGACACAGGACAUCCAGAUAACAGAAAGAAAAUUAAUCUUCUGGAGGUAGAGAAUGAGCUCCAACCAAUCAGUAUUGUAUGAAUAACCUAUAGCUUUAGCUAAAACUUGUGAGGCUUCAACCAGUACUGUUGAGAGGACUAUUUCAUAAAGUACCAUGAAGCAUAACAAAGGAAAGGAGGUGAAAUUAAUGAGCUUGGAAGGGAAACGAGCCUCUUUUGACUCUGUCAAAGACCUCCAGCUUCUGCUUCUGCUUAUUGUAGUUAUUCUCCAUGUUCAUCACAUCAAACCCUGCUAUUCCUUUGCUAUUAUGGAUAAUCUUCAUGCUGAUCUUAAUGGAACAGCAGUUGUUCUAUGAAUUUAUAACUCUGUGUCAAGUCUAUGGAGGCAGGAAAUUUAAGUCUAAUCAAUGAUUUAUGGCUGUUUCAUGAGAGUGCCAUUAAUAAUCUGUUUUAUCUUUAGGUCAUCAAAUGGUGGAGUAAAUGGUUAUUUUCAUUUUCAGUGUCUUGUAACUAAUGAAAGGCUGCUUCCUUCUAUUUGCUUUUACCUUUUGCCUAUCACAAUAAAGGGUCAUCUCCUGCAAAAAAAUGAGGGAGAGUAACAUCUUCACCACCUUUGCUCUGGAUAAGUAUGCAUGCAAUGUAUUUGUUUUGGUCAGUUGCUUUUAUUGAUUGUAUGUCAAUCUUGUCUCAUUUGGGUGAUUGGAUUCAUGCUGUGGUCUUCUAAGGGACCUGCAGUUGAUUUCAAGCAUCGGGUUAAUCUUAUAGAUGCAAAUGCAAUUGCAUGUCAAGCAGGCCCCUGAAAGUCUGCAACUCAAGAGGUGUGACGCAUAAAAUAUGUGUUAUCUCCAUGUUUCUUAUAUUAUCUUUGCAAUUCUCUUGUAUAUUUGAGGUUCUGAGUUGAUGAAUUAGGGCUCAUCUAUAGGGAUACUGAAAAUUGUGAAGAGCCUUCAAACCAUGCAAAAGCAGUAGUGAAAGAGUGAACCAACCACCAUUAAUGAUCUCAUCACAGCCUCCUGUUUAUGAUGUCAUUGCUGAUGGAUUUGGUGCUUUGGCAUCACUUGUGUACAUAUAUAUAUAUAUAUAUAUGUGUGUGUGUGUGUGUGUGUGUGUGUGUGUCUGUUUGUAUCUUACUUCACAUCAAUUGGCAUUAAACUUUGCUAAAAAGAUUAGUAAUGUAUCCACAAAUAAUUAGAAAGAGAAAGGAAAAAAAAGAAACAUCAAUAAAAGCUUGUAUACAGUUCAAGUUCAAGGAGAUAUUACAUGGAAUUGGAAGAGAGUUCACGGAUAAAGAAAGCUUACAUGAAGCUGAAUUCUGGAAAAGUCUAUGUGGAAGAGGAAGAGGGCUAGAUGAGCCUAGUAACUCGUUGGAGAGUCCAAUUAUGCUUCAAAGUUCCAAGUGAAAACAACAUAGAGAACUUUUGCAUCUCAACUUGCUUCCUUAUUGACCUUACUUCUAACUUGUGCUUCUCAGGUAAAAUCCAGCAUACUUUCCCAUGUACUCUUCUGAAGUUCUGGUUCUCGUGAACCAUUCUUAUUCAUUCACAUUUUUAUCUUCCAGUCCCACUUCCCCAUCAAUCUUCUCUAAAGUCCUUUUCUUGCAAUUCUGGAAAUAAACCGUACAGACCACCCAUUUCAACACAUUCCCAAUACAAAACAACAGAACUUGGGCUAUGAUUCCACUCCCCCUUUCACUGCAUCCAGCAUAGAGGCAUGUCAGCCUUAGACUGACCCCCGAUACGAAGAAAACAAGCAUCAACAGCCGUCCACACUCCUUGCUACCUCUACUAAAGUAUGAAGAUAUCAUCAAUGCUUCAGUCCCAUAACUCUCCUCCAAAAUUGAAAACACUAUACUCGUAUUCCAUACAACACUCCAAUCCAAGUACUUUAUUAACACUGCUAUAAAAGCUGCCCCAAAAAAUACACUAAAGAACACAUGAUACAAGAAUCCUUCUUUUUCAAGUAAAUCCUCGUACCAAAACCGCACUGAAAUGAUAUAGUAGUUAAUUACCAACCACAGUAAUCCAAGUAAACCACAGAUUGAGAGGAGGAGAACAUAAACAUGUGAUAAAAGGGUCCUUCAGUCUUGCCUUAUGGAAAAUUUCAUAUGCUUCCUCUUUCAGAGCCAUUGGCUUCUCUCCUUCAUGUAGCUUUGAUGCUAAGUUGACAGUCACAAUCAUGUUAAAGAACUCGAGGAGAUGGAGGGGCACCAAAUAGAGGAGACCCAACAGAACCAAUUUAAGAAAAAAAUCCCAAGUCAUUCUCAUUGCUGGGUCAAGCCAAUCCCACCGGUUAGAGUAACCAGGAGGAGGUUUUAGAAUUUCAUAGGCUUCAACAAGUGUUCUCUGGAAGAUCAUUUCAUAGAAAAUCAAGAAGAAAAACAGAGGGAGAGAAGUGACAAAACUGGAGAUUACGAAGUUGAUGCUUUUGUAAGGGAUCAUUAGAGCUCCUGUGACAACUUGAAAGAACUCCUGCACCUGCUUCAUCAUAAGACUGAUGUUGCUUAGCUCCAAGCCUUUCACCUCUGUGAUCAAUUAUAAGUUUCCUAACAUAGAUGGAGAGGAUUGAAGCAGAUGAAGUCUUCUCUUGGUGGUUGCAGUCUUCUUCCCCCUUGGACUGCAUUACAGAUGAGAUUAAUGCUGUAUACCCCACCAUGUGAUGUGGACAUGUGCAUCCAAAAGCAUAUAGCUUUAAUUUGGUUGACCUUGACUUUGAUAGGCUUCAGUCAUCACCAGGUCACCAACUCAUACUAGAUCCAGUUGCAUUUUAUUGUAAUUGAGAGAAUAACCCAAAUGAAUUUAACCGAAGCUGGUCCCUGAAUUUCAAAACCAUGCUUUCCCCCAUCCUUUCACCUUGAGUUCCCAAUCAGCUUAGACAACAAAAAUAAAUAAAUUGUUUGUUUUUUUAAUUAAAAAGGGUGAUUUUCACAUUUCUGUGUCUUCUAACCAAUGAAGGGCUUGUUUUUUGCCUCAUAAUGUUGGCAUAUCAAAGAAAAAGGUUGUCCCCUGGAUCAUAACAGGGGUAUUUGUUGUUGUCAGUUGCUUUUAUUGAUAACAGAAAUUUGAUUGCGAUUUGUGUAUGUUGCUUGUCAAUCUUGUUUCAUCAGGGUGAUUGGAUUCAUGCUGUGAUCUUUUGAGGGACCUGCUGUUGAUUUCAAGCAUCCUGUCGAUCCCAUUGAUGCAAAUAAGAGUGCUUGCAGAGUAUUUCCUUUAGUGGGAGUUUCCAGAAAGAACCAAUUUUUUUCAUUGUAGAUGCCAAGAACUAUGCAUUAGUCCGGGGCAGGGAAAGGGCUGGAAAUUUAAGCUAGAUGCAAUGCCCACAUUGCUUUCUGUUAGAAUUCAUGAGAGUUUGCCUUUGAA